GUGAAAAGAAAAUAGGCGGAAAAGCGGGUAUGUGCCGAUUUGCUCCGCAGAUUUCUCAUGGUUCAGAAGCGCAGAACCGAGGCCUACACCAAGCUGAAAAGCUGUAAAAGAAGCGGUCAUGGAUAUUUUAUCAUGGAAUGGAACCCUCUCAUCAAGUUAUUUUCGUCUUGCUGCUUGUGCUUUUAUGGAGAAAUGGAAAAGCGUUCUGUCAGCUUUCCCUCUGUGGUCAUGGGUAACUUGUCCAAAACAACCUUGGGUUGCUUCUCAUGAUGUGGAAGGAUACUUAUCAUUGGAGAACAUAAUUCUCAAGUCAGUUGAGUUGUUAUGCACAGGAUGAACAUGAUGAACUAAGUUGCCCUCAGAAAGAAGAGGCAAGUUGCUUUGAGAAAGAGGAACCCAUUGAUGUUGCCACCUUAGUCCAGAGGAAUUGCAGCAAAGUACCUUACUAUGAUCUCCAUAUAAUAUAUAGUGCUUCAUACAGAGUUCCAGUACUAUUUUUCCAUGCUUACUACAGUGGAGCAUCCAUACUUGAACAGGCCAUGGUUUAAAUUACAUCCAUGUGGGACCAGUGAGUGGAUGAAGCUGCUUUUUCAUGCUGAUGUUUCGGUGCCUAAAAAUGGAGUGGCAAUUGAACUCUCUGUGGUGUCAUGGCUCUCAGUCGUUGGGCAAGUGGUUGGUCUUAGAAUCCCUCUUAAAAUGCUUGAAUCAGCUAUAAUAUUGAAUUGUUGAUGACUUUCCUUUGAUAAUAUCUGCACAUUAUAUGGAAGUAUGGGGGCUUGCUUUUGUUGACAAUCCUAUAUAUCCUCUUUUAUUA